UACGAGGGGGGCAAGCGUUGUUCGGAAUUAUUGGGCGUAAAGGGUGCGUAGGUGGUUCGGCAAGUCUUGUGUGAAAUCUUCAGGCUCAACUUGAAGUCUGCACAAGAAACUGCCGGGCUUGAGUAUGGGAGAGGUGAGUGGAAUUUCCGGUGUAGCGGUGAAAUGCGUAGAUAUCGGAAGGAACACCUGUGGCGAAAGCGGCUCACUGGACCAUUACUGACACUGAGGCACGAAAGCUAGGGGAGCAAACAGGGAUUAGAUACCCUGGUAGUCCAAGCCCUAAACGAUGAUCGCUUGGUGUGGCGGGUAUCCAACCCUGCCGUGCCGAAGCUAACGCGUUAAGCGAUCCGCCUGGGGAGUACGGUCGCAAGGCUGAAACUC
rnacentral:rRNA from 1 species